rnacentral:rRNA from 1 species
GAUGAACGCUGGCGGCGUGCCUAAUACAUGCAAGUCGAGCGAACCGACGAGGAGCUUGCUCCUCUGACGUUAGCGGCGGACGGGUGAGUAACACGUGGAUAACCUACCUAUCAGACUGGGAUAACUUCGGGAAACCGGAUCUAAUACCGGAUAAUAUAUUGAACCGCAUGGUUCAAUAGUGAAAGACGGUUUUGCUGUCACUUAUAGAUGGAUCCGCGCCGCAUUAGCUAGUUGGUAAGGUAACGGCUUACCAAGGCAACGAUGCUUAGCCGACCUGAGAGGGUGAUCGGCCACACUGGAACUGAGACACGGCCCAGACUCCGACGGGAGGCAGCAGUAGGGAAUCUUCCGCAAGGGGCGAAAGCCUGACGGAGCAACGCCGCGUGAGUGAUGAAGGUCUUCGGAUCGGAAAACUCUGUUAUUAGGGAAGAACAAAAGUGUAAUUAACUGUGCACAUCUUGACGGUACCUAAACAGAAAGCCACGGCUAACUACGUG